GACGAACGCUGGCGGCGUGCUUAACACAUGCAAGUCGAACGGAAAGGCCCUGCUUUUGUGGGGUGCUCGAGUGGCGAACGGGUGAGUAACACGUGAGUAACCUGCCCUUGACUUUGGGAUAACUUCAGGAAACUGGGGCUAAUACCGGAUAGGAGCUCCUGCUGCAUGGUGGGGGUUGGAAAGUUUCGGCGGUUGGGGAUAGACUCGCGGCUUAUCAGCUUGUUGGUGGGGUAGUGGCUUACCAAGGCUUUGACGGGUAGCCGGCCUGAGAGGGUGACCGGCCACGUUGGGACUGAGAUACGGCCCAGACUCCUACGGGAGGCAGCAGUGGGGAAUAUUGCACAAUGGGCGGAAGCCUGAUGCAGCAACGCCGCGUGCGGGAUGACGGCCUUCGGGUUGUAAACCGCUUUCGCCUGUGACGAAGCGUGAGUGACGGUAAUGGGUAAAAAAGCACCGGCUAACUACGUG
rnacentral:rRNA from 1 species